UACGGGGGGAGCAAGCGUUGUUCGGAUUUACUGGGCGUAAAGGGCGCGUAGGCGGUCAGCACAAGUCAGUUGUGAAAUCUCCGGGCUUAACUCGGAAAGGUCAACUGAUACUGUGCGACUAGAGUGCGGAAGGGGCAACUGGAAUUCUCGGUGUAGCGGUGAAAUGCGUAGAUAUCAGGAGGAACACCGGUGGCGAAGGCGGGACUCUGGGCCGAUACUGACGCUGAGGAGCGAAAGCGUGGGGAGCAAACAGG
rnacentral:rRNA from 1 species